rnacentral:lncRNA from 1 species
AUAUAGAACGUGGAUUAAUUUCUCACCAGCAUGGCAAUGGUUGAACAAGAUUCAUUGGAAGAUGACACAAGGCAAGACGAGCAGAAGACUAUUCAACUUGAUAUUACAAACAUUUUUCAGGAGCUAGAUUUUUUGAAGAAAAAAGUAUUAAAGUUAGAAAGGCAACUUACGGAGACCCGUGAUUUAUGCAAGGAAAACCAGCGUAAUGUACGACGCCAUCCUGUGGAGCAACCAUUACCUGAACUAUAAUUUCAAACUUUCAGCUGUUUACUAUUACAAGACUGAAAAACAAAAAUAUGUGGAACUGUACUUUGAAAGAAGCUGAGUUAUCAGUACAUUAUAUACGAGUACUCAUAAUGAUCACAAAAGCAUGUAGACUAUAUA